rnacentral:rRNA from 1 species
CCUACGGGUGGCAGCAGUGAGGAAUAUUGGUCAAUGGACGAGAGUCUGAACCAGCCAAGUCGCGUGAAGGAUGACUGCCCUAUGGGUUGUAAACUUCUUUUAUAUGGGAAUAAAAUGUGCCACGUGUGGGGUUUUGUAUGUACCCUAUGAAUAAGGAUCGGCUAACUCCGUGCCAGCAGCCGCGGUAAUACGGAGGAUCCGAGCGUUAUCCGGAUUUAUUGGGUUUAAAGGGGGCGUAGGUGGAUUGUUAAGUCAGGUGUGAAAGUUUGCGGCUCAACCGUAAAAUUGCCGUUGAAACUGGGAGGCUUGAGUACAGUAGAGGUGGGCGGAAUGCGUGGUGUAGCGGUGAAAUGCUUAGAUAUCACGAAGAACUCCGAUUGCGAAGGCAGCCCACUGGACUGCAACUGACACUGAGGCACGAAAGUGUGGGUAUCAAACAGGAUUAGAUACCCCAGUAGUC